rnacentral:rRNA from 1 species
UACGUAGGGUGCAAGCGUUAAUCGGAAUUACUGGGCGUAAAGCGUGCGCAGGCGGUUGGUUAAGACAGAUGUGAAAUCCCCCGGGCUCAACCUGGGAACUGCAUUUGUGACUGGCCAGCUAGAGUAUGGCAGAGGGGGGGUGGAAUUCCACGUGUAGCAGUGAAAUGCGUAGAUAAUGCGGAGGAACACCGAUGGCGAAGGGCAAUC